rnacentral:rRNA from 1 species
GAUGAACGCUGGCGGCGUGCCUAAUACAUGCAAGUCGAGCGAACAGACGAGGAGCUUGCUCCUUCGACGUUAGCGGCGGACGGGUGAGUAACACGUAGAUAACCUACCUAUAAGACUGGGAUAACUUCGGGAAACCGGAGCUAAUACCGGAUAAUAUUUCGAACCGCAUGGUUCGAUAGUGAAAGAUGGCUUUGCUAUCACUUAUAGAUGGACCUGCGCCGUAUUAGCUAGUUGGUAAGGUAACGGCUUACCAAGGCAACGAUACGUAGCCGACCUGAGAGGGUGAUCGGCCACACUGGAACUGAGACACGGUCCAGACUCCUACGGGAGGCAGCAGUAGGGAAUCUUCCGCAAUGGGCGAAAGCCUGACGGAGCAACGCCGCGUGAGUGAUGAAGGUCUUCGGAUCGUAAAACUCUGUUAUUAGGGAAGAACAAAUGUGUAAGUAACUGUGCACGUCUUGACGGUACCUAAUCAGAAAGCCACGGCUAACUACGUG